GACUGGUGACAGAGUGAGGGGAUCACUGAUGACAGAGUGAAGGAGUGACUAGUGACAGAGGGAGGGAGUGACUAGUGACAGAGGGAGGUAGUGACUAGUGACAGAGUGAGGGAGGGGGUGACUGUCACUAGUCACCCCAUCCCUCUCUCUGUCACUAGUCACUCCCUCCCUAACUCUGUCACUGUGUCACCCGCUCCCUCAUUCUGUCACUAGUCACCCCCUCACUCACGCUGUCACUAAUCACCCCCUCUGUCCCUAGUCACCCCUUCCUCACUCUGUCACUAGUCACCCCAUCCCUCUCUCUGU